rnacentral:misc_RNA from 1 species
CCACGAACACAGUCUCCCUUGUAGCGACAGGAUUCCCGUUGAAAGGUCUGCCGGGCCAUCGGCGCUCUGUCGUGACGCCUCGAUCGCGUGUAGUCGAACUUCCCCCGGCUCCGGCGGCGAUGCGCGCAUGAAGACGAUCGCGCUUCUCUCCGGUGGCAAGGACAGCAUUCUUGCGAUGCUGAUGGCGUACCGCUACGGCCACGAACCGGUCGUCAUUGCAAACAUGGCACCCGUGCUGGAGAGCGACGGAGCGUUACGAGGAGCAGCGGAGAACGGUACGCACGGACAUGACAUCGACUCGUACAUGUACCAAACAGUGGGUUUUGAAGCGGUGGAUUCGAUUGCCGCCUGUCUCGGGCUGCCGCUUCGCCGCGGUCGCGUGAGGCGUGGGCUUGCGAAAGAUCAGUCGCUGCUCUACUCUGAGCAGCCACCCGAGGAGGACGAGGUGGAAUCGCUGUACUCGCUCAUCAAGACGGUAAAGGAAGAGUUCCCAGAGGUGCAAGGGCUCACCAGCGGUGCUAUCCUCUCUAACUAUCAGCGCAACCGCGUCGAGUUCAUCUGCGACCGUCUGGGACUCGAGUCCCUCGCGUACCUGUGGAUGCGCCAGCCCGAUGAAAUUCUAGACAUGGCCAACACAUUGCACGUACGGGCCAUCCUGGUGAAGACAGCGUCCAUUGGUUUGACGCCGCGCCGCUUCAUUGGCAAGACACUCGAGGAGGCGCGCCCGACGCUGGAGAAGAUGGCGGAGCUCUAUCAUUCCCACCUCGCUGGCGAGGGCGGCGAGUACGAGACGACCGUGCUGAACUGUCCUCUUUUCCACACAGAGCACCUGACGGUGGCGGCAUUGGAGGUGGUGAUGCAGGACGACAACGACAUUUCGCCUUCGGGGCAUGGACUGCUCACUGUGGCACGGGUGCCCAAGCCAGUUGAGCAACAGGCACAGGAGGCAGAGCUUCUGGCGCGUCUUCGGGCCGGUGCCGUCACGUUCCCCUCCGACGCGAUGCCGCUGCUGCGUAGCUGUGCUGCUUAUCCACUGGCGCCGAGCGCGACGGCAUCCCCGCUUGACUCCGGAGAAACUAUCGACUGGCCGUUGCCGCCCACCAUCCGCAGCGCCUUGUUUCUAGGCUUUGGGACUGCCGCCGCGAGAGACGGCAUCGCGCAUCACACGUACGCCGCUCCUCUCGAAGCUGGCGCGCCUGCCGCGGAGGCACUGAAUGCGUGCCUUACUGUGCUGCAGACGUGGGCGAUGGAGCGCAGCCUCACCCCCUUCUACUAUCACUUCUCGCUCCCUGAGCCUUCCUGGGAGGUGUGGUGCCGCACUGCGUACGCCGCCAAGGUGUCCCACAUUUGUCCGCCCGGAUUGCUUGUCACGGUGCAUAACUCAUGCUCCCGGUCCACUGCCGCGGUUGAAGCCGAAGUUCUGGCCGCGCCAACGGCGGCGAUUCAGCAGCAGGUGUUGCACGCGCAGAGCCGCAGCUGCUGGGCACUUGGCGAACCGGGGCCGCACUCGCAGGCUCGUCGCGUGAGCCUCGCCACCGGCACCUUGCGAUUGUUCGUGAGUGCCACGCCUGGACGUGUUCCGGCGACGAGGGAGGUGGCCACCGCCGCUGAUCUUCCUGUUGUCUGCCAGCAAUACAUUAGCGCCUUGGCCGCGACACAACAAGGGGAGGAGACCAGCGCGGCACUGACCGACAUUGUCGCGCAAUUCGUCGUUGCCAUGGCGAACUGCGAGCGCUACCUCACUCUCUUCGGGUGCAGCUUCGGCGACGUUGACCGUGCCAUUGUUGUCGCUACCGAGGACGUUCCGGUGGCGCUGCUGCCGGCACUGUGGCAGUGGACGACGCAGAACACAGGCGCGCUGCCGUUUGAGCGCGUCUGCCAGGUGGUCGUGGUCGGCGCCUUGAGCGGGACAGAAAAGAUUCGCGUGUCGAUGGAGUGCGUAGAGGUGAGGGAGGCGGCGGAGGAGAGCGCGUGAUUCCUUCUACCUGCGGACCCUGCUUUGUACCAUCCCGCUGGCGAGCUGUUGGCGUUCUGUUUGUCUUUCAAUUUCUACUGCGCCACCGGCGCAGCGCUCAUCGUCCAAGCGCGCCGUACGAAGCCCUGCUCACCGUGGGAGCACAAGAGCAUAAGCAGAAGUGUGCGUGCUUGUGUGUUGCUCUCUCGCUUCUUCUCGCUCUUUGGCUGUCUCCAUCGUGCGUGUGCUGGCCUCUGUAUGUGUCUGGGUGUGCUGUCGUGGUCCGUUCGCGGGGACAGCCACGAGAAACGGGGUACGCGCUGAGUAGCAGAGCGAAGCGAUAGGCGCCCCCCCCCCCCCACACACCACCACACUCAUGCCGCAAGAGAGAGCGCCAGCCAUAGUUGAUGUACACGGGCUGUGGCGUCUCUUCGCCUCUUCCUCACCUCGUCCUCUGUAAUGGGUAAAUCGGUUAACCACCUGCGUGCCGUUGCUGCACGCACCUUUGUGGGCCUCCUCCCAUUUCAAUGAUAUCAUCCUCGAACACCUGCGGCCCCCCUUCCUCUGCCCUCACGAGCGCAGCCAGCGGAGAAAGGGAGCGUAGUGUGCCGUUUUCGCACGUGCGCAUGCUUGGACGUCUGCUGCGCCGGUCCCUUCCCUGCAGGGAAGGCGUCUGUUAGAGACGGGGAAAGGCGUCGACAGCGGGUGCACGGGCACGGUAACGAGAGGCAGACACAGACACACACACACACACAGAGAAAAGAACAGGGGAACGCAGCAGCGUCUCUCUUUGGAAGAUACUGCAGCACCUUUGGUACGGGCGGUGAGGACAUGGCUGCUGCGGAAGCCGUGAGGGGGGAGAGAGAGAAGGAGGUGGCACGAGUGUCGCCACCGUUUCCUCCUCGUGCAACUUCCGUACGAGCAACCCCAGCCGUGUUUGCUUGCUGGCGGCGCUUUGCUGCGUCGAGCUUCUCCGAUAGCGGUAGCGGCCAGCGUACGCGGAUGGUGCGCGUCUCUGACGGCGGACGGUGAAGCACCUGCAUCGUGGUACAUCUACGCUGCACGCGAGCGCUUCUUCUUUUCGUGCUGUGACGGCUCUCUUCUGCGUGGCUCCGUGACUCCCCGACUGUACUCUGCGCAUGUUUGUGCCCCCAUGUCCCUCCUCUGUCUCGUAAAAGUCACCGUCUCCGACUACGGGGUUGCCGUGGCGCUUCCUAUCCCUCUCUCAUCUCCUUGUGUGACGCUCACUGUCGCGAACACGCACAG